UACGGAGGGUGCGAGCGUUGUCCGGAAUCACUGGGCGUAAAGGGCGCGUAGGCGGCUAAGUCAGUCGGAUGUGAAAUCCCUGGGCUCAACCUGGGAACUGCAUACGAUACUGCUUGGCUAGAGUGUGGGAGAGGGUGGUGGAAUUCCCGGUGUAGCGGUGAAAUGCGUAGAUAUCGGGAGGAACAUCAGUGGCGAAGGCGACCGCCUGGCCCAACACUGACGCUGAGGUGCGAAAGCGUGGGUAGCAAACAGG
rnacentral:rRNA from 1 species